rnacentral:rRNA from 1 species
UAAAAUUGACUUAUGCCUGGAUGGUUUAUGUUUCAAAUAAUUUAUUGCCGUAGGAUGGGACUGCGGCCUAUCAGUUUGUUGGUGAGGUAAUGGCCCACCAAGACUAUUACAGGUACGGGCUCUGAGAGGAGUAGCCCGGAGAUGGGUACUGAGACACGGACCCAGGCCCUAUGGGGCGCAGCAGGCGAGAAAACUUUGCAAUGUGCGAAAGCACGACAAGGUUAAUCCGAGUGGUUUCUGCUAAAGGAACCUUUUGUCAGUCCUAGAAACACUGGUGAAUAAGGGGUGGGCAAGUUCUGGUGUCAGCCGCCGCGGUAAAACCAGCACCUCAAGUGGUCAGGAUGAUUAUUGGGCCUAAAGCAUCCGUAGCCUGCUUUGUAAGUUUUCGGUUAAAUCCAUACGCUCAACGUAUGGGCUGCCGGGAAUACUGCAAAGCUAGGGAGUGGGAGAGGUAGACGGUACUCGGUAGGAAGGGGUAAAAUCCUUUGAUCUAUUGAUGACCACCUGUGGCGAAGGCGGUCUACCAGAACACGUCCGACGGUGAGGGAUGAAAGCUGGGGGAGCAAACCGGAUUAGAUACCCGGGUAGUCCCAGCUGUAAACUAUGCAAACUCAGUGAUGCAUUGGCUUGAUGCCAAUGCAGUGCUGCAG